rnacentral:misc_RNA from 1 species
AGCUCGCAAGUUUCGCGUCUGCUUGGCUUUCACUGCGCACGUAGUCUGCUGUGUUGUGAGAACUUACCUGCUGCGUUCCAAAAUAUCUUGUCGUCUGCUGCGUACUGAGAAUGCAGGAACAAACAAACCUGAGCACAAGUUACAGUUUUCCUAGGAUUUAUCCCCGUCUCGCUGAUGGCAUUUACUGUAAGGCUGCCUUUACCAGGACAGAACACGAUCGUGCAUUACCUGAAGACUGCAACAAACUUUCUUAAAUCAGGACCAAAGGAACUCAAAUACCGUGGUUCUCAUUCAGUGACAGACCAAAAGAAAGCCAUCUAAAUUCUUCUAAUCGUCCUGAUGCUGCUCUGUAAAUUCUAGAAAGUUUUAAUGCUCGAAGUGAACACUUAAGGAUGUAAUGAAAGCAUAGUGAUAUGUUUCUGACCAGCCUUACCCGCCCACCUCCCGAGCCGGUUUACAGACUGUGGAGUCCCUGCUGACAGCCAGUCUCGACACCAAAUAAGUGAAUCACGGAGUUUACAAAGUAUCGAAAGUUAGAAAAAAGGCUUGCUUUGCGUAAUACAUCUGCAACCUUAAAAGCUUCCCCAAUUUGCAAAAAUUUCGUUCGUUGAUAAACUCAAAGUGUUUGACGGUGCAGCGUGGUACAGCAGCGCGGCACGGUGCGACGCAGCCAGGCACAUCACAGAGCCCGCCGUUCCCUGUCGUCCAGUGGCAUUUUUUUCUUGGAAGACAGUGCCUGCUGCACAGACGACAAUUGCGACGGCAGAUAGACUUUUAGGUCUCGGCUGGCUACGUGCACUUGCUGCGCUUUUAGUCUCUUGUAGUUGUCGUCUGCUGUCACUGCUGCUGUUGCCGGCUGCCGCGCCGGCGUGUCAGUGCUGGACCCGACCUGAGCCGGCCACCACCACCACCGCUGCCCGCGUGCUGCUGAGCCCUUUCACUCGCCCGCAGGAGACUGACAGGCAGCAAAAGCGCGUGUGAGAGAGCGAGCGAGAGAGAAAGCCAAGACGGCAUGAGAGUAGGUGAACAACGCUGGUUGGUAAGAAACAAGACGGACGAACCGAAACGUUCGCUGAGGACUCCUUCGAAUUUUGUGACUGUGUUGCCCCCACAAAGAAAGAAGCAAACAAACAACUUCUCCGCUUUCAUGAUUACUUUCUUUGUGAAUUUAUAUACCUACGUCUUGAGAAUUUAGCCUGCGACUCUCAGGUAUGAGGAAAAAAAUAAGGGCGAGAACAGGUUUUCCCGGCGCAUUGAUUCUGGUGUCCUUUUAGCUUCCGACGCAAGUAACAGGACUCGCCCACAAGUCUGCUGCAGACAGGACAAAGAAGAUUGGGUAGUCUCAGACGUGUCUUAACUUGACACGUCUAAUCUUCUUGACUUCAUAACAUUCGUGUCUUUGCCCCGUCACAGUUUCUUCUUCUUUUUUGUUCUUCACCUCCUUUACUUUCACCUCUUUCUUUGAUUUCCUUUUGCACUGGUGGCCGCUAUUAGUAAUCCCACCAACUGACCCUUAAAACUUCACGGAAUGGAUUCGAGGACAGGACGUGGCUGUUUGGCAAUGGCACUUUCUUAGGCAUACAGUGAGCUCGAACGAUGAUGUUCUGCGGCUUGUCACCCAUUGCCAUAGCGCGUAGGAGACAUUGCCGACAAGGCGUGAGGACCAUGAAGUGGCCGUGGUCAGGGCGUUGGUGCUUCGGAAGAGUUUUAUCAACCACGUGGAUCUUAUCCUCCUGCAUUCUUGUCUUCGCUCCAAAAGUUCUUGCUCUUCCGCCUGCGGAGCGGGAUGGGUACGGAAGCGGCAACUUCACGAUCUUCUCGUACCACGUUCCAGAGUCAGAGGACGACACCUUCGAGGACGACUACGACAGAGAGCCCGGCAGCAACGACUUUAUCAACAGCGGCCACAACCACAUCAGCAACAGCAACGGCAAGUUGAACGAGACGGUGCCGUGGAUGGACGGAGUCACGGAGUCGCCCAUUGGUCCCAAGGAUCACGUGGGCGACGAGCUGGAACACGUCCUGGUAGAAGGAGACGGGGAAGGAGACUACGAGUACGACAACAUGGAGCUGGACGUGGUACAACAGUUCUUGGAACAGGUGGAGAUCUACGAGAAGAACCAGGCCAACUGCACGGCUGGCACGCAGCACAACCUGGGCAAAGGUGUUAUCAAGCAAUACGGUCUGAACCGGUUUAAGUCCCAGGCACUGGUGGCGGUAAACCGAGCAAACUUUCUGACGAGGAUCUGGAAGGACGCGGGGCCCGAAAUUCUCACCUCCGAGUCUUUCUUCUACACACAGGUGCGCAACUUGGUGGAGGGUGAUCCAGAAAUCUUCGCAGGUGGGAACUGCUACGACAAGCUGCAGUUCAAAGACUACUAUCUGUUUUGUCCCUUUGCUUACCGCACCGCUCACGGCUACAUCAAUGUGAAGGAUCUGUCCGUGGAGUAUGACUACCUGGGAAAACUAGGCAACGAUUCGGAGUGGUUUUACACGGCCCGAGAGCGUGCCAGUAACCUGAACAACUUCACUUUCACAUACGGUACAACUCAGUGGCGGUACAAUCAGUCGCUGCAUCGGGAGGUGGACAAUGACAGUGUCAUCACGGUCGCCUAUGAACAUGGUCACUGGAGUCUGCCGUACUUUGACUGUGGGGGUGGAAACAUCUGGAUGAUGACAUACACUGUUCCUUUCUUCGCUUACGUCAACAACACGCCACGUUUCAAGGGUACGAGCGGAAUAGAUAUAGAUCUGCAAAAGGUGGACAUUGACCAGUGCCCACUUCCUGAAGGCUCAAAAGAAGAGAAUGUUUUUGCUGGAUCACACAAAUGCAAGCCAAGGACAACAAGGUGUGAAGUCAUAUCUGGGCUUGGCUUUCGACGAGGCUCCUACAAAUGCGUAUGCAAAGAUGGCUUCUACUUUCCGCUUCCAUCGGAAGACAAGCGUUACUACGAAGGUACUUUGGUGGAAGAGGAGUACGAGAAGAAAAGAAAGCAUCUGGAUAACAAUUACGACAUGGCUUUCGAGUGCAUGCCGUGCGCUCCGGGAUGCGACACAUGCACUGACCCCAGCCCGUGCGUUCUGACCUUAAACUGGCUUCAGCGCAGCAUCCUCCUGGGCGUGUCAGGACUCAUCAUGUGCUUCAUCCUCGUUCUCCUCUGGUUUACAAUCCAGUACCGAGAGGUCAAGGUCAUGAAGGCGUCCAGUCCCGUUCUGAUGCGCGUUGUUCUGCUCGGAGCCUUCUUUCUCUACUGCCCUCUCAUCGUGGGAUACUUUGAAGCCAGUGUGCUGACGUGCUGCGUGCAGUUCUGGAUCAGAGAGAUUGGGUUUUCUAUCUCCUAUGGGGCUCUUCUGCUGAAAACAUGGAGAAUUUCAGUGGUGUUCCGAGUGCGGUCUGCGCAACGAAUAAAGAUUUCAGAUGGUGAUCUUAUCAAACGUCUGCUGGUCAUUGUCUUCGUCUUCUCAGUCUACCUCACCGCCAGGACGGUGGCUGGGACACCCCGUGUGGUUCAAGGCAAAGAUGUUAGCGGCUUGAAAGCUUACAUAUGUUCUUCCGACUGGUGGGACCAUUCAGCAGCUAUAGCGGAACUGCUCUUCCUGCUGUGGGGAGUGCGGCUAUGCAUCGUGGUGCGCAAAGCGCCAUCAGAGUUCAACGAAAGCCGCUUCAUCAGCUGGGCUAUCUACAACGAGUUUCUUCUCUCUCUCUUCCUUAAUGUGUCCAUGAUAUUUUUGCGGGAUCCGUUUCCAACCAACCCGGAUCUGCUGUACCUCGUGCUGUUUGUGCACACACAGCUGACAACCACUGUUACCCUUGCUUUUCUCUUCGGCACAAAGGCAUACCUGGUUUACAAGUACCGGGGAAAGGAGCACACCAAGGGUGGCGGUGGCGGCACGACCAUGCUGAGCCGCGGCUCCAAGUACACAAUGGGCAACAAACCGCAGUCGACUGUCUCCAACGCCAUCUCCACAAACGGCAGCUACGGCGAGAAAGGCGAGGAGGAGGAGUGUGAGAGCUUCCUAGAGAAAGACAUUCAGGAGGAGUUCCGGCGGCUAUACACACAGCUGGAGUUGCUGAAGCAGCGCAACAUGAAGCUGGGCAACCGACAUCUGCAGUACAAGCUGUCCGCCAUGACGGAGGCCGCUAACAAGGAAGACCUGCCCCCAGACUCCACCCCUACUUCCCCCAACCUCAACGGCAAGCGCAUUGUGAUAAACCUGGACGAUUACAACGAGUCCACCAACGUAUAGCACCAACGACUUUACACACAACGACGGCAAAAAUCAAAAUAGUUCGUGUUGGCUGCAGCAGGAAGGGCUAAUCCUGGCAUCAACUGGGUUAAUCCUUGUCGCGCGAACUCUUGGAGCAACUGAAGUAGUCGCUGCAGCCAGGACGGAAACCGCAUUUGUGGAUGAUGUGGUGUGGUGGUUUUCAUUAUCACACUCUAACGAGACUAGAAUCUACUCUUACACCUGAUAGUCCGACUGAAAUUUCCUGCACUGCGUGGUAGUCAUGAGCUGGGUUUGGGUCAGUAACUCUGACAUCAAUAUUGAUGAGAAUCAUUUUCAAGUUCCAGAGGGUUCAAUGUCGAAAUGAAGACCAAGUUUCUUUUUUCCAGUUGGUGCGAUGUUAAUGAUACGAUCUUGCUAAAUCCGUAAAAUAACGGUCUUUGGUGGCAACAGUUUUAACCGGUAGUUAACGGCACGUAAUCACGACGUUACACGCGAGACACGUUGUGCAGAAUCACUCAAGCGAGGCUCCAUCUUCGCAGACCUCUUCUUCCGCACGUAGACCCACCUGCACCAGAAUCGAACCAACCCUCAGGCACACGGCCCAUGUAAAGGACGAGUCCCUGAGCGGCUUCCGCGGUCUUCGAUGUAAGGAAACUGGCCGCCAACUUUUGAUGUGAUGGAAUGGGAUUAAUGCGUUCACGACGUCGGUGCCCUCCUGCCAGGUCAGUCUGUGUUGGGUGAUUAGCGAUGUGUCUGGCUACGGUAGCAGCGGGCAGGAGCGACCACGGGCAACGCGCCGUCUGCUUUGAAAUGAAGUGCCGGUUGUCACUGACAUCAGAGCCAGCAGUGAGCAAACGUUCCACUUGAUACGUCUGCCAGACCCGCUCUUCACCCACUGUAUGGGUGGUGCGGCUGUCACAAGACCAGCUGUGGUCAUCAGCGAACGUUGUGUACAAGUGUAUGUGUGUGUGUUACAGUGUAGGUGUGGAGGUGUUUGUGCGCGCGCUUGUAUUACUUUGUGCAAUGCGGUUAUGUGUGUAUCUGCUAUUUAUCGCUUAUACUUGACACAGAACGGUGGUAGCUGUAUAGUACUUCAAGAAAAACACGCGGAUUGAACUGGACUGAUGUGGGCAUCUGUAUGGCACCAGCAGCCUGUCUGUGCACGUGUUCAAAGCGGUCUUCAUGUGCAUAAUCUGUUAUGUUCUUUGAACUUCCUAAUUUACUAGGUCUCGUUCAUGGCAGGUACUGUUCGUCAGCCACCAGCCUAUCUUGCCAAUACGACACACUAGAAAAUCUCAGAAUGAAAACAAAACAGCAAUACAGAAGAAAAUAACAGUUCAAAUGUCGUACGAUUCUUUGACAAGAAGAUCGGAACAUCAUAUUUUUGUAAUAUCCUAACGAAGGCAAUCAAAACCUCAUUUUAUAGCAGUGCAAAUACUUUGAUCUUCUGUUUGUGCUGGCGUAAGACGCUCAGCAAAGGAUGUCAUUAAUCUAUGGGCUAAAGCCCUUUGCUUGGCAGAUGGACAAGCACUAACUCUCGUUACACCCACAGUAAGGGGCAGAUCCAAACCAGAAAGCCAAGUAGCCAACAAACUCCAUGAAAAGAUAAACCGUAAAAAUGUGGUUAUUGAAGACUGAACAGAACGUUCCCAGGGUUCCUUUGUCUUUAAACAAGAACGAACGUUCUAGGUGGCACCAUCUACACAGCUUUUAUUGUGCAUCUGCAAAGGCUGAAAUUCCCCUCCAGCCGACAUUACUGUCGUAUAGAAAUCUGAGGCCUCCCUUCUCAAUGUCAUGGCAAACGCAAGCACAAACACGCACAAACACACACACACGAUCACCACCUCCACCACCACCCAUUUCCGAACGAAGAGACCGCUGGAGAUAGAAAAGCAUCUUCCCACUCCAUCCCGCCCCCACACACCCUACCCUCCUCGAAAAAGUGAAGAAAAAAAGAAGUCUCAAAAACACGACACAGAGCAGAGGGAGAGAGAGACCCGGGCAGAAGACAGAGUGGGCGUUUUGUGUGUGCGGAAGAAAAUGAAUUGGGUUUCCGGAAUUUAUUGUGGCUUCCCAUGUUACUGCUGGGCGUUGACAUGGAAAGGGGGCGUGUGAACUGACAGGAAAUGGACACCAGCAGAGCUGCGCGCGGCGCUUGGCAUCGCCAGAAAAAGACCGACAACCGCAGAGUCACAUUACUGGCCCAAGCAUGAAAUAGGAUUUACAAACGUGUUUGUCAGUUGAGGAGGAUGGAUGCUGUCCAAGUUGGGGAAAAAUGUUUAGCCAUUGCUAAAGUGGGGACAAAACGCACGCGUGCUCAAGAGAAGGAGAGAAAGCUUUGAUGUGUGGAGACAGUGGGUGGUGUGCAUGCGUUUGUGCUUGUGUGUGGUGUGCUUGUGUGUGUGC